UGCCCCCCUACCAGACCUGGUCUGACGAGCCCUCCUGGUAGUGGGUAGGAAGCACGUUCCAAACCUGAGGCCUCUGUGAGCGCACACAGGGAGUAAGCUUCGGUGGAGGGUGACUUGCGAGAUUCGGAGAUAAGAGGAGACUCUGAGCAGUACUCAGGCCCCGAAGGAGGACAGAGGCCAGGGCAGCCACAGCGGACGGGCAGAGGAAGCGCCGCUCUUGCCCAAGGGAAGCCCCUCCACCUCGAAGUCCCUCAACCAACGGAAGUGGAGCCGAAACCACCAAGUGCCUUGGAUCAACGGGGAAGAAUUCCAAACCCCAACAAAGGUCACCACUGAAUGGAGGUGUAAACAUCCACUGAUAUAAACAUUCUCCAAGCCACUCUGAAGUCAUGGCCUCUGGAAGGAAACAGCCUCAGCUUGGAAGUGGUGGGGAUGGAUUUCCCUUACCAUCAGCGCUAUUCAGGGACUCAGGGCAGGCGCUGUGCUGCUGAGCUAUAUCCCUGGCCCCUGCUGGCUACAUUAACUGACUGUAGAAUCAGAGAAGGUGAGAAUCGCAAGAACCUCAGAGUCAUCUCAUCCAGUGAACUCUGAAAGUA